rnacentral:rRNA from 3 species
GAAUGCUGACAUAAGUAACGAUAAAGCGGGUGAAAAGCCCGCUCGCCGGAAGACCAAGGGUUCCUGUCCAACGUUAAUCGGGGCAGGGUGAGUCGACCCCUAAGGCGAGGCCGAAAGGCGUAGUCGAUGGGAAACGGGUUAAUAUUCCCGUACUUGGUGUUACUGCGAAGGGGGGACGGAGAAGGCUAUGUUGGCCGGGCGACGGUUGUCCCGGUUUAAGCGUGUAGGUGUGUGUUCCAGGUAAAUCCGGUUCACUUUAACACUGAGGCGUGACGACGAGGCACUACGGUGCUGAAGCAACAAAUGCCCUGCUUCCAGGAAAAGCCUCUAAGCAUCAGGUAACAUCAAAUCGUACCCCAAACCGACACAGGUGGUCAGGUAGAGAAUACCAAGGCGCUUGAGAGAACUCGGGUGAAGGAACUAGGCAAAAUGGUGCCGUAACUUCGGGAGAAGGCACGCUGACACGUAGGUGAAGUGAUUUACUCAUGGAGCUGAAGUCAGUCGAAGAUACCAGCUGGCUGCAACUGUUUAUUAAAAACACAGCACUGUGCAAACACGAAAGUGGACGUAUACGGUGUGACGCCUGCCCGGUGCCGGAAGGUUAAUUGAUGGGGUCAGCGCAAGCGAAGCUCCUGAUCGAAGCCCCGGUAAACGGCGGCCGUAACUAUAACGGUCCUAAGGUAGCGAAAUUCCUUGUCGGGUAAGUUCCGACCUGCACGAAUGGCGUAAUGAUGGCCAGGCUGUCUCCACCCGAGACUCAGUGAAAUUGAACUCGCUGUGAAGAUGCAGUGUACCCGCGGCAAGACGGAAAGACCCCGUGAACCUUUACUAUAGCUUGACACUGAACAUUGAGCCUUGAUGUGUAGGAUAGGUGGGAGGCUUUGAAGUGUGGACGCCAGUCUGCAUGGAGCCGACCUUGAAAUACCACCCUUUAAUGUUUGAUGUUCUAACGUGGACCCGUUACCCGGGUUGCGGACAGUGUCUGGUGGGUAGUUUGACUGGGGCGGUCUCCUCCUAAAGAGUAACGGAGGAGCACGAAGGUUGGCUAAUCCUGGUCGGACAUCAGGAGGUUAGUGCAAUGGCAUAAGCCAGCUUGACUGCGAGCGUGACGGCGCGAGCAGGUGCGAAAGCAGGUCAUAGUGAUCCGGUGGUUCUGAAUGGAAGGGCCAUCGCUCAACGGAUAAAAGGUACUCCGGGGAUAACAGGCUGAUACCGCCCAAGAGUUCAUAUCGACGGCGGUGUUUGGCACCUCGAUGUCGGCUCAUCACAUCCUGGGGCUGAAGUAGGUCCCAAGGGUAUGGCUGUUCGCCAUUUAAAGUGGUACGCGAGCUGGGUUUAGAACGUCGUGAGACAGUUCGGUCCCUAUCUGCCGUGGGCGCUGGAGAACUGAGGGGGGCUGCUCCUAGUACGAGAGGACCGGAGUGGACGCAUCACUGGUGUUCGGGUUGUCAUGCCAAUGGCACUGCCCGGUAGCUAAAUGCGGAAGAGAUAAGUGCUGAAAGCAUCUAAGCACGAAACUUGCCCCGAGAUGAGUUCUCC